rnacentral:lncRNA from 10 species
UCCUGCCUCAGCCUCCGGAAUAGGCACAUGAAAAGACUGCGCUUCCCGGCGACCCUUUGAAGUUCGGCGUAACCUGCUGACCCGCUCUGGCUGAGUGUGAGCUAAGAGGACAGGUGUCAUAUCAGGUCCAAGCCUCGAGAGUCACUGCCUGCUGUGCCAUCCUCUCUUCUUCCCGUGCCAAAGGACUGGCAGCACUCCAGUGAUGGCUGUGCCAUGGGCCCGGGGUACACGAGUGAUAUGGAGCGGAGCGCUCAGCUGGCCCACAAAGGAGAGAAAACUCUGCUGCCUGAGGACCACAGAGAAUCUGCAGCUGUGACUGCAGCACAGCCCAGCCUGCCCUGACCAACAUAGCUCCAAGAGAGCCAGACACGUGGAUCUCAGAGAAAUGGAUGAAUAGGCUGGGUGCGGUGGCUCACGCCUGUAAUCCCAGCAUUUUGGGAG